GACGAACGCUGGCGGCGUGCUUAACACAUGCAAGUCGAACGAAGUGGCGCAGGGGUGUGUCACGUGGAUUUCACCCGCCCUUCAGAGGGGGACAACUGGUGGAAACGACUGCUAAUACCACAUACUGCAGUAGGGGAUUGCGUUUGCGUAGCUAGUUGGAGGGGUAACGGCCCACCAAGGCGAUGCUCAGUAGCCGGUCUGAGAGGAUGAACGGCCACACUGGGACUGGGACACGGCCCAGACUCCUACGGGAGGCAGCAGUAGGGAAUCUUCGGAAAUGGACGGAAGUCUGACGGAGCAACGCCGCGUGAGUGAUGACGGGCUUCGGGUUGUAAAGCUCUGUUAAUCGGGACGCGGUACCGGAACAGAAAGCCACGGCUAACUACGUGCCAGCAGCCGCGGUAAUUC
rnacentral:rRNA from 1 species